ensembl:lncRNA
GGAAGUUGGGCUGGCUGCGGUUGGCUGACGGAUCUGAAGGAGCCCAUCUCCUCGGGUUGUCGAGGCCGAUGAGGCCAGCGGCCAGAGCAAGUUUAGGGCCGAGAGGGACUGGCCUCCCUGGUCUGGGCCACCUGAGGGGCUGGUCCUUCAGUCGCUCCUCCCCUCACCCUACUCCUUUCCCCGCAGGAGGUUCCUGGGGGAGGGCCUCAGACGGACUCCGAGAAGCGACUGGGGGUCCAGCUGUCGUGCUAGCGCUGCCUGACAGAGACAUCCAUGGUGGUGCAGGGCGCGUCCUGGCGACGGGGCCACGGAGGAAGGCUCCAGGGCCGCCGGCUGGUGACAGCUAGAAAAACAGGGACUGGGAGGUCAGGCCCUGCUGGCGCGGGCGCCCAGCCCCAGCGGCUCCUCAGCUCAGGGGCAGCCUGAGUCAGGGCUGACUGCUUCCCUGGGGAGAUGGCCCCCCAGUCAGAUGCCUUCUGUCUCCAGCAAGCAGAAACGGCCUGGGGGUUCCCCCCUCCUUGGGGCCGGGCCACUGGCUUCGUGACAUUCCGGGAGCUGCUUGAGGCUCCCUCCAGAGGGAGGGUCUGGCUGCUGGGGCACAGUGGUGAGGGGAGGUGGCAGAGCCAGCAAAGAGGGCUUUCACGGGCUGAAGUGCAAGCUGCUGUCUCGUCCUGCGGGGCUCACAGGCCCUCCGGAUGGAUGUCUUCGACAGCAGGUUCAGAAAUGGGCAUGAGACCCCGCAGAGGGAGACUCCUGGGAAACGUGCUUCUGGCUCUCCAGGGAGGUCCUCGGAGGACCACCACCUUUCGGUCUAUAUGAGUCACCCAUGUCUGCAUGUGACGCCUGGAUCGCCGAGGCUUCUCAGACCAGCCCCAACCACUGUGGGACCUGCAAAGGAUCUGAGGGUCAUCAGUUACUCCACCCUCGUUUCGAAGAUGCUGGCAGGACACUGGCAUACUGGACCAGAGCCAGACGGCUGUGUCACCCAUGGCACAGUGGGAGCUGGAGUUUCCUCGCAGCCCUGAUUUCCCUCCCUGGACAUGGUCCAGGGUUUUGGGGAAACGAGAAAGCGAGAGACUGUGGAGCAGAAGUGGCGGCUUGACACUCGAUCGACUUGGGGUCCUGGCAUCUAAGGAAAAGGGGCAGCAAGGAUGUGGCAGCUACAGAGUCAUGUUUGCGAUUCAGAUUUCCCAGGAAACUGUAUGAGAUGGAGUCGCUUUCAAGGGAAAGCCCUGUAAGGCCUGGAGUGGGAACAACACCGUCCACCUGCUCCCCAGGUGGUGGGCGGGCACAGGGCUGAUGGCCAGAAGCUCAGUGAAAGCAGUGACAUGGCUAUCACUGCCGUGGUUAUUGUGUCAUGUCGGAUCCCUGGAGAGCAUGGCCGCGUCACAGCUCCUGCUCAGGCUGGUCCUGGUCUGUGCCCGUCUCCUGAGGUGACCACCAGUGGUGCCCCUUUCACUCUCCAGGAGUCUUGGUCUGGUGGAUAAAUGAUAGGGUUACCGUACGUGUGUAGGGCAUUUAUGUUUCUGCUUUAUUAAAUAGUGCAGUAAUAAAAUGGAGCCCCUCACCUCCAAGGGCACUUGCUACCAAAGAAUUGACAAGACACAAAGUCCAGAGAGCAAGAAGCAGUGUCGCUGUCAGAGGGGCCUCUGUCCUUGGUCUGGAAGUCGAAGGUGAAAUGGAAAGAUGCAGGAGCCCAGAUUCGGCAGCUCCACGUGGCCUCCCUGCCAUGGGCACUGGGAGAGCUCUGCCCAUGCUGUGUGACUUUGGCAGGAAAUGAAAUCUCUCUGAGCCUCUUACCUCUUAUUGUGAACCCAGGUUGCCGUGAGGGUGAGCAGUGGUGGGUGAAUCCCCAGGUGGUGCCCAUGGCAGAUGCAGGGGGAAAGCCACAGGCAUUGGGCUCACACUGCCAUCAGUGUAUCAAUGCUUCGCCUGUGCCUUCCUCAGCAAAACCCAAUGACUCACCUUCCUGGCUCCAAACAGCUUCCAAUUAUGAAAAGAAAAAAGUUUUAUUAUUGUUUUUGGCUGCACUGGUCUUGGUUGCUUUUCGGGCUUUUUUCCCUAGUUGUGGCAAAUGGGGCGCUACUCUCCAGUUAUGGCUUGCGGCUUCUCACUGUGGCUUCUCUUGUGGAGCAUGGGCUCUAGAGCACACGGGCUUCGGUAGUUGCAGCAUGUGGCCUCAGUGAUUGCGGCUCCUAGAGCACAGAUUCAGGAGCUGUGGCACAAAGGCCGAGUUGCUCUGUGGCACGUGAGAUCUUCUCAGACCAAGGAUCAAACCCGUGUCCUCUACACUGGCAGGUGGAUACUUCACCACUGAGUCACCAGGGAGUUCCAGCCGCCAGUUUUCGCCAUGUGGAGAGGGGUUCAAUCAUGAAUUCAUUUUUUAAAAAUCAGAUAUACAUCUCUUCAGAGUUUCUGUUUUCUUCUUGUAUCAGUUUUAAUAAUUUGUGUUUUUCAAG